rnacentral:rRNA from 1 species
GACGAACGCUGGCGGCGUGCUUAACACAUGCAAGUCGAACGGAAAGGCCCUGCUUGCAGGGUACUCGAGUGGCGAACGGGUGAGUAACACGUGGGUGAUCUGCCCUGCACUUCGGGAUAAGCCUGGGAAACUGGGUCUAAUACCGGAUAGGAGCCAUUUUUAGUGUGAUGGUUGGAAAGUUUUUUCGGUGUAGGAUGAGCUCGCGGCCUAUCAGCUUGUUGGUGGGGUAAUGGCCUACCAAGGCGGCGACGGGUAGCCGGCCUGAGAGGGUGGACGGCCACAUUGGGACUGAGAUACGGCCCAGACUCCUACGGGAGGCAGCAGUGGGGAAGAUUGCACAAGGGGCGCAAGCCUGAUGCAGCGACGCCGCGGGGGGGAGGACGGCCUUCGGGUUGUAAACUCCUUUCGCUAGGGACGAAGCUUUUGGUGACGGUACCUAGAUAAGAAGCACCGGCUAACUACGUG